ACAUGCAGUCGAGCGACGCGCCUUCGGGUGACGGAGCGGCGAACGGGUGAGUAACACGUGGGCAACCUGCCCUCAGCUCUGGGAUAACUCCGGGAACCGGGGCUAAUACCGGAUAUGACCUUUCAUCUCAUGGUGUUUGGGUGGGAAAAGUUUUUUCGGCCUGGAGGAUGGGGCCCGCGGCCCUAUCAGCUUUGUUUGGGUGGGGGUAAUGGGCCCUACCAAGGGCGACGACGGGUAGCCCGGCCCUGGAAAGGGCCACCCGGCCCACACCUGGGGAACUGAAACCACGGCCCAAACUCCUUACGGGAGGGCACCCGUGGGGGAAUUUUUGGCGCAAUUGGGCAAAAGCCUGACGCAACGACGCCCCGUGAAGGAUGAAGGCCUCGGGUUGUAAACUCUCUCCGCGGGACACGAAGUGCCGGUACUGCAAAAGA
rnacentral:rRNA from 1 species